GAUGAACGCUGGCGGCGUGCCUAACACAUGCAAGUCGAACGAAGCAUUUGAUUGGAAGUUUUCGGAUGGAAGAUGAGAUGACUGAGUGGCGGACGGGUGAGUAACGCGUGGGUAACCUGCCCCAUCCAGGGGGAUAACAGUUAGAAAUGACUGCUAAUACCGCAUAAGCGCACGAGGAUGCAUGUUCUUGUGUGAAAAACUGAGGUGGUAUGGGAUGGACCCGCGUCUGAUUAGCUAGCUGGCAGGGUAAAGGCCUACCAAGGCGACGAUCAGUAGCCGGCCUGAGAGGGUGGACGGCCACAUUGGGACUGAGACACGGCCCAAACUCCUACGGGAGGCAGCAGUGGGGAAUAUUGCACAAUGGGGGAAACCCUGAUGCAGCGACGCCGCGUGAGCGAAGAAGUAUUUCGGUAUGUAAAGCUCUAUCAGCAGGGAAGAAAAUGACGGUACCUGACUAAGAAGCUCCGGCUAAAUACGUGCCAGCAGCCGCGGUAAAAC
rnacentral:rRNA from 1 species